GUAGCAUGCUGAGAAGGAGCCGGGCAGAGGCCGGCGGGGCAGCGAGGGUCCUGUGAGGAGGAGCACCUGCCACUAGAAGCGGCCUCGGGGACGUCGCGCUGAGCCCUGCUUUGGAGUCAGGGGGACUUUCCGCCUCGGUGAACUCGAGAGUAGCAACUCUCCUCCGGGUAACCGGAGUGCCACAGCGGGCAGGCGUCGUAAGGACAGGCUUCGGAGAGGAGAGGGGCUACCCGAGGAUGGCAUCAAAGUAUGCAUAGGAGUUGGGAAGGCAGAGGAACAAGUGUGUUCAGAGACGCAAGGAUUGUCUGCCGUGGUGGCUUCUCACACAAGCCUGUACUUUCCUGUGGGAGAAUAUUUCCUAGGAGAUGCAGCCUAUAUUCCAGUUCAUCUCUGGCAUCAUAAAUCAUGACUGUGUAGAAAGGCCAUAACAUGUGACACAUGGCAGCCAUUUUGGAGAUGGCCAGAUGAGAGGACAAUCAAUCCACAUGCCUAAAUGGAACCGACAGACACGCGCCAGCUUCCUCUCCAGCCUAUGCUCUCAGACACUUGUAGAAGACCAGAGAGAAAAUG
rnacentral:lncRNA from 1 species